rnacentral:rRNA from 1 species
CUACGGCCGCUCCAGUGGGGAAUAUUGCACAAUGGGGGAAACCCUGAUGCAGCAACGCCGCGUGGAGGAUGACACAUUUCGGUGCGUAAACUCCUUUUAUAGGUCAAGAUAAUGACGGUAGCCUAUGAAUAAGCGCCGGCUAACUCCGUGCCAGCAGCCGCGGUAAUACGGAGGGCGCAAGCGUUACUCGGAAUCACUGGGCGUAAAGAGCAUGUAGGCGGGUUAAUAAGUCAGAAGUGAAAUCCAAUAGCUCAACUAUUGAACUGCUUUUGAAACUGUUAACCUAGAGUGUGGGAGAGGUAGAUGGAAUUUCUGGUGUAGGGGUAAAAUCCGUAGAGAUCAGAAGGAAUACCGAUUGCGAAGGCGAUCUACUGGAACAUUACUGACGCUGAGAUGCGAAAGCGUGGGGAGCAAACAGGAUUAGAUACCCCCGUAGUC